AUGGGGGUCAGGUGGUGUGUACCCAGCCAACAGGAUAUGUUCAGCAUUUGGCAGGGUGAUGAGAGAUUAACACCCCAAGACAGAAUGAAAACCCGAGCUCUCAAGACUCUUCUCUUACGAAAAUGGAAAUGUUGGACUAUGGUUGGGAUCUUUGGAACAGAGGUCUGUGAUGUCUCCAAAAGACACAGAACCAAUUGCCUUCAAACAGCUAAGAUUCCAUCAGAACCUGGAGUGACAGAUCCCUUGGAUCUUCAAAGUCCUGGGCCUCUGAGUCAGUUAAGGGAGAUCUCUUGUUCUUUUUUAUAUAAUCCCAAUCAUGAGAUCUCUAAAGUCAACUGACUAAUAAAAAACUGUGCCUUCAUCA
rnacentral:lncRNA from 1 species